UUUGGUAUUAUGAUAUUGUGCCACAUCAUCACUUAAAAGUUUAAAAUUUUAUAUAAAUUUUCAGGUGAUGAUGUGGUACAAUCUCAAAGUGUCACA
rnacentral:pre_miRNA from 1 species